rnacentral:rRNA from 1 species
AGCAGUAGCCGCGGUAAUACGUAGGGUGCAAGCGUUAAUCGGAAUUACUGGGCGUAAAGCGUGCGCAGGCGGUUAGAUAAGCCAGAUGUGAAAUCCCCGAGCUCAACUUGGGAACUGCGUUUGGAACUGUUUAACUAGAGUGCGUCAGAGGGGGGUGGAAUUCCGCGUGUAGCAGUGAAAUGCGUAGAGAUGCGGAGGAACACCGAUGGCGAAGGCAGCCCCCUGGGAUGACACUGACGCUCAUGCACGAAAGCGUGGGGAGCAAACAGGAUUAGAUACCCCCGUAGUCCCUGUCUCUUAUAC